rnacentral:rRNA from 1 species
UGGGGAAUAUUCCACAAUGGGGGAAACCCUGAUGCAGCGACGCCGCGUGAGCGAAGAAGGUUUUCGAAUUGUACAGCUCUGUCCUAUGGGAAGAUAAUGAUGGUACCAUAGGAGGCAGCCCCGUCUAACUACGUGCCAGCAUCCGCGGCAAUACGUAGGGGGCAGGCGUUGUCCGGAAUCACUGGGCGUCAAGGGUUCGCAGGCGGAAAUGCAAGUCAGUUGUGAAAGGCAGAGGCUCCACCUCUGUAAGCAAUUGAAACUGUAUUUCUUGAGAUGUGGAGAGGCAAGUGGAAUUCCUAGUGUAGCGGUGAAAUGCGUAGAUAUGAGGAAGAAUACCGGUGGCGAAGGCGACUUGCUGGACACAAACUGACGCUGAGGAACGAAAGCGUGGGUAGCAAAGAGG